UGAGGAAUAUUGGUCAAUGGGCGGGGAGCCUGAACCAGCCAAGUCGCGUGAGGGAAGACGGUCCUAUGGAUUGUAAACCUCUUUAGGCGGGGAGCAAUGCCGGGCACGCGUGUCCGGAGGGAGAGUACCCGCAGAAUAAGCAUCGGCUAACUCCGUGCCAGCAGUCGCGGUAAUCGCUCACU
rnacentral:rRNA from 1 species